rnacentral:lncRNA from 1 species
CAGAAGGAUGGGGAUUGGGGACACUGGGCUGAACCUGAGAGACUGAACUAAGAGAAAGCACAAGGCUGAGUUUGCAGGAUUCUCAACUCUUCCUGCUGGUUUUGAGAAGCAGAUGAAUUUAAUGGCAGGCAGCUGCUCUCCAACCACUUACCCUCCUUCACUGCAUCAAGUGAUUCUGGACCACGCCGGGCACAGAUAUAUGUUCUCCUUGGACCUGUUCCUGAGAGCUGGAGGUUAGCCAAGGUUAGAAUGAAGAUAUGCUGAUGGUGAGCCAGCUUUGUUUCUGUGAAGGCAUGAGGGCAAUGGAGGGGGUGCGUGUGGAGCCACAAGACAGAGGAAGAUUAGCCCUGAGCUAACAUCUGCUGCCAAUCCUCCUCUUUUUGCUGAGGAAGACUGGCCCUGAACUAAUAUCUGUGCCCAUCUUCCUCUACUUUAUAUGUGGGAUGCCUGCCACAGCAUGGCUUGACAAGUGGUGUAUAGGUCCACACCCAGGAUCUGAACUGGUGAAACUCGGGCCGCCGAAGCAGAAUGUGUGAAUUUAACCGCUGCACCACCAAGCUGGACCCCUUGACAAAGCUUUUUAUAUUCCUUUUUUCCCCCUU